rnacentral:rRNA from 1 species
GACGAACGCUGGCGGCGUGCCUAAUACAUGCAGGUCGAACGAAGCUUUUUUAACUGGUGCUUGCACCGACUUAAACAACUGAGUGGCGAACGGGUGAGUAACACGUGGGUAACCUGCCCCAAAGCGGGGGAUAACAUUUGGAAACAGAUGCUAAUACCGCAUAACCACAGAAACCACAUGGUUUCUGUGUCAAAGAUGGUUUCGGCUAUCACUUUGGGAUGGACCCGCGGCGUAUUAGCUAGUUGGUAAGGUAAUGGCUUACCAAGGCAAUGAUACGUAGCAGACCUGAGAGGUGGAACGGCAACAUUGGGACUGAGACGCGGCCCAACCACCGACGCGAGGCAGCAGUAGGGAAUCUUCCACAAUGGACGAAAGUCUGAUGGAGCAACGCCGCGUGAGUGAAGAAGGUUUUCGGAUCGUAAAACUCUGUUGUCAGAGAAGAACGUGUGCGAGAGUAACUGUUCGUGCAGUGACGGUAUCUGGCCAGAAAGCCACGGCUAACUACGUGCCAGCCGCCGCAGUAA